rnacentral:rRNA from 1 species
AUUGAACGCUGGCGGCAUGCCUUACACAUGCAAGUCGAACGGCAGCACGGGGCAACCUGGUGGCGAGUGGCGAACGGGUGAGUAAUAUAUCGGAACGUACCUUUCAGUGGGGGAUAACGUAGCGAAAGUUACGCUAAUACCGCAUAUUCUGUGAGCAGGAAAGCAGGGGAUCGCAAGACCUUGCGCUGAUUGAGCGGCCGAUAUCAGAUUAGGUAGUUGGUGGGGUAAAGGCCUACCAAGCCUACGAUCUGUAGCGGGUCUGAGAGGAUGAUCCGCCACACUGGGACUGGGACACGGCCCAGACUCCUACGGGAGGCAGCAGUGGGGAAUUUUGGACAAUGGGGGCAACCCUGAUCCAGCCAUGCCGCGUGAGUGAAGAAGGCCUUCGGGUUGUAAAGCUCUUUCGGCCGGGAAGAAAUCGCGCAGGCUAAUAUCCUGCGUGGAUGACGGUACCGGAAUAAGAAGCACCGGCUAACUACGUGCCAGCCGCCGCGGUAACAC